rnacentral:rRNA from 1 species
AUACGGAGGGGACUAGCGUUGUUCGGAAUUACUGGGCGUAAAGGGCGUGUAGGCGGGACAUCAAGUUAGGCGUGAAAGCCCCGGGCUCAACCCGGGAACUGCGUUUAAUACUGGUGACCUAGAGUCCGGGAGAGGGUGGUGGAAUUCCCAGUGUAGAGGUGAAAUUCGUAGAUAUUGGGAAGAACACCAGUGGCGAAGGCGGCCACCUGGACCGGUACUGACGCUAAGGCGCGAAAGCGUGGGGAGCAAACAGGAUUAGAAACCCCAGUAGUCC